rnacentral:lncRNA from 1 species
CGCAUAUAAACGCAAGCUACACAAAAGUGACAUGGACAAGAACAGCGCAAGCCCUUUACAUGCAGUGGAGCCGCCGUAUCUCGCCGUUCAAGAUAUGCGUACUCGUAAGUGGCAUUUUAAUUUCACGUUGUGUAAUGCAUGACUGUCUUUUUCAAGUGAACAAAGGUCGCUUUGUAUUGUGUAAAUGGUUUUGCAACGUAUGAUAAACUCCUUGUCUUUCGGGCUUAUUUUUUCUGACAGGAAAAAAAAAAAAAAAGAGGCUUUACAUGAGAACGGAUCAAGCGUUCGAGAGUUGGGACAGGGAAAUGAAACACUGGAACGACACUGCUUAAAUUGAAGCACAGUGUGCGAAUGACCUGCUACGCUCGGAACUGUUAUCACCAUUCGGGAAGAAAUUGGAUGAAAAAACAUAACUGUAAAUACCUGUAUGAUAUGCGUCUGGUGCAUUGCAGGUAAGAAUGGAUUGUGUGUGGCGCGCUUCCCCGCAUGUGGGCUAGAGUAGAUCUAGGAACAUCAGACAAGAAGACACGUAUGUGAAACCCUGCGGAUAGCCCAUAUGUAAGUUCUUCCUCAAUUUUUCUUUUGUUGCAUUUUCGUAGUUUACGUGUAAUACUUUGUCACCGCGGUCUCGACGUUAUGUAUACCUAUACAUUUGUCUCG